UACGUAGGGGGCAAGCGUUGUCCGGAUUUACUGGGCGUAAAGCGCACGUAGGCGGAUAUUUAAGUCAGGGGUGAAAUCCCGGGGCUCAACCCCGGAACUGCCUUUGAUACUGGAUAUCUUGAGUUCGGAAGAGGUAAGUGGAAUUGCGAGUGUAGAGGUGAAAUUCGUAGAUAUUCGCAGGAACACCAGUGGCGAAGGCGGCUUACUGGUCCGAUCGUGACGCUGAGGUGCGAAAGCGUGGGGAGCAAACAGGG
rnacentral:rRNA from 1 species